CCGGGCGGGUGGCGAUUCGGGCCCAGGCCCCGCCCUGUUGAGCCACGCGACGAGGGUCUUGGUUCCUCUGUGCCCGAGUUUCAUCAGCUUCUCAAAGGGGAUGAUAACGUAACGAGUCUCCCUCGUGGGGUCAAGGCGAGGAUUCGAUGAUGUCACGCGUGCGGAGUGCCAGCCCGGCAUCUGAUUCAGAUUGAAGUCUUUAACAGUAGCACUGCCUCACUAAGUGGCCUGGGAGCAGAGCAUCUUGAAGCCAAUUCUGUGCCCAGAGAGCAUCCGCUGAAGGAAUGAAUGGCCUGGGUGGACCCUGCUUGCUUGACACGGGUUUUCCAAACAUACUCUCCCAGGGCAAUGGAGUUCGGCCUUGGAUUCAGCUCCUUUCACUUUAGUUCAUCUCUCUGGAGCCCACUUGGGCAGCGCGGCUUGUUGGUGUUUGGUAUUAGGAUUGGCCAGAGGUGACAGUCAAAAUAUGUCGCGACUGGUGAGGCGCAGGCACUGACCCACCUGAACAGCUGGCAAGACGAGGUCGGGCAAAAGGGCCACUCGUGAUAAGGAAUCACGCCGUGUCCCCGGCUGUGGGUGCCUCUGAGUCGUGGUUUGUGGGAGCGCAUGUCCCGUAAAGAUGGGAUUUGCUUCACUGUCCCACACGUGCUGUCAACUCUGGCUGCCAACGGUUCUAAGACAGAGCGCCAAGAGUCCUCUCUCACGACCAGGCACUGGAUCAGCUCUGUGGGAUGACCCUUCUUUCUUCCCUCCUAUAAGCGGACAUAUGGUACAGAGGAGGGAGCAGACGUUCUGGAGCCCGAUGCAUGGACGUUGAAAUCCUUGCCCCACGACUGUGCGUGAUUUGGGGCAAAAUACUUAAAACCCUUGACCCUCAGUUCCUUUUGUAUGAAAUGGAAAUAGUAAGUAUCUAACUCAGCAGUUAUGAGGUUUAAAUGAAAAGCACGUAUGUAUAGGGCACGGUGUGUGAUCGGCCUAUGGUAGUAUGAGCUCCCUCCCGCUCUGGUGGUGGGUGGGACUCGUUUACCUGACGGCUUCACAGACAUGCUUCUUCUACUCUAAAACCCUACUGGCCCCGCCACUGCAGGCCAUAAGUUCAUGGUCACCAGGCGACUCCCAAGAACGUUCUCACACUUCUGUUUCCAUCACAGAGCCACCUGCACGCUUACCAAGGGGCAACUGUUGUUCCCAAACCCGUUUAUACCGGUACUGCCUGCUAUUCUAAUGAUACAGUGUAAUUACAUGCAAUGCAACCAAUAAAAUACGAGGGUGUACAUA